UACGAAGGGGGCUAGCGUUGUUCGGAAUCACUGGGCGUAAAGCGCUCGUAGGCGGAUCUUUAAGUCAGAGGUGAAAUCCCAAGGCUCAACCUUGGAACUGCCUUUGCUACUGGGGAUCUCGAGUCCGGGAGAGGUGAGUGGAACUGCGAGUGUAGAGGUGAAAUUCGUAGAUAUUCGCAAGAACACCAGUGGCGAAGGCGGCUCACUGGCCCGGUACUGACGCUGAGGUGCGAAAGCGUGGGGAGCAAACAGG
rnacentral:rRNA from 1 species